AGAAUAUACCUUCUCAAGUAAAGGCUUGGACCUUCGGGAUGGGGAGAUGCAGUACCGAAGAACGCGUAAAAGCGAAGACCCACUCUCCAGUGGAGGUGGGGAACACAUCCGAAGACACUAAACCCGGCAGGCAGGAGACCUCCCGAUGGAUUAGAAGUAAACUGGGAGAAACUCAGAGCUCAGGAGAAUAGACACAGGCGAACAUCCUUGACCAGAGAGGCCCCGGGCCAUCAAUAUACUCAAUCCUCCCUAGGGCCGACGAUAGACUGGUGUAAUGUGGGCGAGCUCCAUUUCUUACCGUGACUGUCCUUCUGACCGAUGCCCUGCGUGCGGAUUAGAGCCGACAGCCGUCUCACGUCUCCCUUGAAAACACACUCGUGUACGGGGAACUGCGCCGCUGGGCACUUGUCGGGCUCUGGACCGGUGGUGGACCCCCCAGGUCCUCCCUUGAGCGGCAGACGGUGGUGAUUGGUGAAGAUGCGGUGACUCCCGGCACGGCCGCCUUUCCCGCUUCCCGGCCGGCCCCCGGUAAAAGCGCCUCCGCCAGGCGCGGCCGCCGCCUCUUCUUCACUGGGCGCCAGUAGGUCCCCGUCCUCUUUGCUGGGCUUGUGGUCCCUGCGCAGCGAGCGCAGCUUCUCUCCGGUCAUCGCCAGCGGCGGCCCCGGGCGCUGAGGGGCCCCGAAGGGGAAUCUGGGCGCCGCAGUAGCUGCGGGAGGCUCGAGCGUUCAGAGCCGCGGCGGCGAGUCCCGUCCUGAAUGCAUUCCCCCACCCGGGACACCCCGCAGGUUGAGGGACUCCGAGCUGCCUUCAAACUCCCUUCCACCUGCCGCUCUUCUCAGCGACUCGUCCACGCCGCCAUCUUGUCGAGGGAUCUCGCGAGAAGAGAGCGCUCUGCAGAGCGAUAUCGCGAGAUGGUGACCUCAGGCGAUGGCAAUGGGGAGAGAUAGAGAAUCGGCGCGAUGAAUUGGAAUGUUGGUUUCGUGGAGGCUUCUCUCUGGGAUGAGAGAUGCGGGAAAAAGCGGAGUACUGCGAGAUGGAAAGAGAGGGAAUAGUCGUAGUGAGUUAAUGGAGACAUGGAGAGGCUUUUUUUUUUACCGAUCAUGGUGCCGGGGAGGCUACCCUGUGGCCAUCCAGGGGCUAUUGGACUACAACUUCCACCAUCCCUGCUCUUUGGCUAUGCUAGCUGGGGCUCAUGGGACUUAGAGGCCCCCAAAAUCUGGAAGACUGCUGAUUAGCCACCCCUGAAAGGGAAGAUUGUGUUUACUUGUUUGUUGUGGCACAAUUUUAGGGGAGUUUAUUCCUAAGAUUUGCAAUUAACUGUUACUGUUACCCAAGUGUUACCGUCAUAGUAUCCACGAAGAACGGGAAUAAAGAAAUUGUUCCAGUACCAAUAGAACCCCAAAGAAGACAAUGUCUCGGCGAAAAAACAAAUUUUCUGACGAACUUCAAGAACAAUAUCCGAUGUUCAAGAAAGCCAAGGUUGAUUAUGAGGCAUACUGCAAAGUUUGUCAGGUGACAAUUUCAGUCGCCAAUAAAGGGCAAGCUGAUUGAAGCAACAUUUGAUCUCAAUGAAACAUACCAAAAACAUAAGAACAGCUGGUAGUUCGAAGAAAAUUGACAGUAAGUUUGUCACCCAAAAUACUACAAAGGAAUUAAAAAUAUUGGCUGCAGAAGCAACUCUGGCUUUUCACGUUGUAAAACACCAUCAAAGUUACAAAUCUUGUGACUGCUCAACCAAAUUGUACCGCAACCGCAAGUUAUUCAGCGACUCUGAGACUGCUUCAAAUGCUUCCAGUGCCAGAACAAAAACUGAAGCAAUUGUUAAUAAUAUUUUGGCACCCAACUCUGUGAACACUGCUGUAGAAAGGAUCGAGAGUGAAAACAUUCCAUACAUUGGAGUAUGCACGGAUGGAAGUAAUCAUGGAGCUUUUAAAAUAUUACCUGUUCUUAUCCAAUAUUUCAACAGAGAAUAUGGGAUACAAUUACGUAUGCUAGAGUUAAAAUCAUUGGAAAAUGAAAAAUCGGAGACCAUAUGUGAUUUAAUUACCACAACAUUACAAAAUUACCAUCUGAAAAGUAAGUGUAUCGCGUUUACGGCAGACAACUGCAACACCAAUUUUGGUGGUCUGCAAAGAAGGGGACAAAAUAAUGUUUUCUUCCAUCUACAAAAUGUCUUUCAAAAAGAAUUGAUUGGAGUUGGAUGCCCAGUUCAUAUCUUGCACAACUGUGUGCAACAUGCUUUUGAUGGUCUGCCAAUCGAUAUUGACUCUUUGAGCAUGAAAAUUUAUAACUACUUUUCCAUUUAUACAAUCCGAACUGAGGUUCUAAAAGACUUCGGCAAUUUUGUGGAGGUAGAAUAUUGAAAACUGCUAUCUCAUUCCGAGACUGGGUGGCUGUCAUUAUUUCCCUGCAUACACAGGGUGUUGCAAAUGUACUCGGCACUUCAAAGCUACUUUCUGUCGCAGGAACAUCCACCAGUGUUAAUUAGUUUUUGAAAAUCCACUAAACAAAAGUUAUUUGUGGUUCGUUCACUUGCUCAUGAAUGUUUUUCAUUCCAAUAUUGAAAAGAUUGAAAGAGGAAAAAAUAAUUUAAUAGAAAUCAUCGACAUUUUAGAAUCCGUGGAAGAUAUUUUACUGGCAUGAAAGUCUGAAGAAUUUCUUCCGCUCAAAGUUAAAUAAAUUUUAAGAAUUAAUUCUAAUGAACCAAGUUCCAGCACUAUGAAAGGCGAGUUUUUCAACGUAUAUGACAGAGCUUUGGAAUAUCUCAAAAAUUGGACGUCUUCUCUAGAGGAAUUUAAAAAUUUCAGAUGGAUGAAAUUAAUACAGACUAACUUGGGAUGAAAUUGAAAAAACUCUUGUGUAUUUAAAAAUGAAAAAUGUAGAAAUCAAUGAUGCUUUGUUAUUCGACCAAGCUUCUAAUUUAAAUAUAUUUUUGGAAAUAUGGACACGAAUGCGGAAUUUUCAAGGAAAAUAUUGUCGGAUAAAUGGGUAGAUUACUUCAAAAAAGUGAAUAAAACUGCGAGCUCUGAGUUUAAAAAUAUAUUCUUUCAUUUUUGCAAUACCAAGCGACAAUGCUAAUGUUGAAAGAGUCUUCAGCAUGAUGAACGCUCAAUGGACUGUUGAAAGAAAUAGACUGGCUGUCGACUCCGUGAAAAAUUUGUUAAUGGUUAAAUAUAACUUCAAAGAAUUUGAUUGCUUACAAUUUUACAAUUAUUGUACAGGAAAUAAAAAAUUGUUAGCCGAAGUUCAGAGUAAGGCAAAAUAUUCAUUCAAUUAAAAUUUUAUAUUUAUAUUAUAGGUUUUGUUAAAGCUCUAAUUAUUGAUCUCUUUCGUGUAUAUUUAUUGCAAAAGUACUUGCAAUGUACAUGGUUACCUACUUUAAUUUGUGAUUU